CUUCGGGUAAGGCGGUGGUCUAAUUUGCUUGGAACAGCGAGUCAUAGAGGGUGAGAAUCCCGUCUAGGAUCGCCAGCCGCGCCCAUGUGAAGCUCCUUCGACGAGUCGAGUUGUUUGGGAAUGCAGCUCUAAAUGGGUGGUAAAUUUCAUCUAAAGCUAAAUAUUGGCCAGAGACCGAUAGCGCACAAGUAGAGUGAUCGAAAGAUGAAAAGCACUUUGAAAAGAGAGUUAAACAGUAUGUGAAAUUGUUGAAAGGGAAGCGCUUGCAACCAGACUUGCGUGUAACGGUUCCCCCGGCCUUCUGGCCGGGUUACUCCGUUAUCUCCAGGCCAGCAUCGGUUUGGGUGGUCGGUAAAAGACCCCGGGAAUGUAUCUACCUUCGGGUCGACUUAUAGCCCGGGGUGUAAUGCGGCCCAUCCAGACCGAGGAACGCGCUUCGGCUCGGAUGCUGGCGUAAUGGUUGUAAGCGGCCCGUCUUGAAACACGGACCAAGGAGUCUAACAUCUAUGCGAGUGUUUGGGUGUCAAACCCCUACGCGUAAUGAAAGUGAACGGAGGUAAGAACCCCGCAAGGGGCGCAUUAUCGACCGAUCCUGAUGUCUUC
rnacentral:rRNA from 1 species